UGAGGAAUAUUGGACAAUGGGCGCAAGCCUGAUCCAGCAAUGCCGCGUGCAGGAUGAAGGCCUUCGGGUUGUAAACUGCUUUUGUACGGAGCGAAAAGGUCUGCCCUAAUACGGUGGGCUCAUGACGGUACCGUAAGAAUAAGCACCGGCUAACUACGUGCCAGCAGCCGCGGUAAUACGUAGGGUGCGAGCGUUAAUCGGAAUUACUGGGCGUAAAGCGUGCGCAGGCGGUUAUAUAAGACAGAUGUGAAAUCCCCGGGCUCAACCUGGGACCUGCAUUUGUGACUGUAUAGCUAGAGUACGGUAGAGGGGGAUGGAAUUCCGCGUGUAGCAGUGAAAUGCGUAGAUAUGCGGAGGAACACCGAUGGCGAAGGCAAUCCCCCGGACCUGUACUGACGCUCAUGCACGAAAGCGUGGGGAGCAAACA
rnacentral:rRNA from 1 species